CCGCCGCCAUCUCAGGUCUCUUUGCCUCGGUAGGGCCCACCAGAGAAAGCUGACGCGUAGGUCCUAUAAUCCUUAUGGGGGACCAACCUUGCACCUCUGGGAGAUCCACACUCCCUCCUGGAAACACGCGGGAAACAAAGCCUCCAAAAAAGCGCUGUCUCCUAGCUCCACGGUGGGAUUAUCCAGAAGGGACCCCCAACGGAGGUAGUACCCCUCUCCCAUCCGCACCUCCUCCUCCAUCACCCGGCCUGAAGUCGCACCCUCCUCCUCCGGAGAAGUAGUAGAAUAUACUUCUCCCACCCUAAACCAGUCUUUGAGGGAUUUCAGUAUGACUCCAUUUUCUUGGUGCAGUCACAAAAUAGUUUAUUCAGUGAAGACAACGAAGAUUAUUGACAAUGCUGACCUGCUUUUCCUGUUGUCCUGCACUGGGAAGUUGUGAUUUUUAAGUAUUAUGAUAUAAUCAGUGUAGUACCAUUUCCUGAUUUGGAUGAAUUCUGGGACAUGACCAAGAUCAGGCUAUAUGUAGACCUCUAAGAUUGAAGACCAUGGCCUGGAUCGUGGUGAACUCACCAAAGCAAACAAUGCCUGUGAGAUGGCCCUGCAGCAGCCUAUCAGUGUUCUCUUUUGGUGACACCCAGACCUUACUAUAU